CAGUCGCCGCGGGAAUACGUAGGUGGCAAGCGUUGUCCGGAAUUAUUGGGCGUAAAGGGCUCGCAGGCGGUUUCUUAAGUCUGAUGUGAAAGCCCCCGGCUCAACCGGGGAGGGUCAUUGGAAACUGGGAAACUUGAGUGCAGAAGAGGAGAGUGGAAUUCCACGUGUAGCGGUGAAAUGCGUAGAGAUGUGGAGGAACACCAGUGGCGAAGGCGACUCUCUGGUCUGUAACUGACGCUGAGGAGCGAAAGCGUGGGGAGCGAACAGGAUUAGAUACCCCGGUAGUCCCUGUCUCUUAUAC
rnacentral:rRNA from 1 species